GUACGCCGGAUGCGCUGAAAGGUGCCCGUCCGGUGUGGGCCGGGGGAAAAGGCCGAGACGAAAGUCAGAGCCUUACCUAUCGGUAU
rfam:Lachnospiraceae bacterium 3_1_57FAA_CT1 genomic scaffold acsNT-supercont1.5, whole genome shotgun sequence.